AUGCAAUCUAGUUAACAUCUUAAAUAGACUGGUUUCCGUUUUUUAAAUACUCUGCUAUUGCUUUGCUAAUUUACAUGCUUGCAAUUGCUUUGACCCCAGAGCUCUCCAUCAGAUCUCCCAGGCUUCUGGAACCACUAAGAGCAUGGCAAUUUCUUCAUACAAAACUUAAGGCCAUGUUUCUGUUCUUGUCAAAGCAGAGAGAACAGCUUUGAAACUGAUUCUCAGCUUGAUUUUCUCACCAGAUCAACUUUUUCUAGAUAAGACAAAGAAAAUAUAUGUGAAUAAAGCAAAGUUUGGGUGGUUUUUUUUUUAGUUUAAUGUCCUCAGGAUUUUAAAUUUCCAAGAGAACAACUUCUGAAUGGAAAAUGAAAUUCAAAUUAUAAAGAUGAACAAUUUACAUUCUCUGGAGAGGACAGCACCUGUGAAUGUGAAGAAAGCCAAACAAGAGCCACAGGAGACAGUUCAUAAGCUGGAAUUGUCACUUCUGCAUCAAGGGAAGAGUGGAAGAGCAAACAGGUGGCCAAAAGUCAUCUUUAAUCGCUUUUCUUCCACAUUUUAGCCUGGGAAACACAGUUAUAGAAAAUGUCAGCACAUCCCAAGUAUAUGAUUUAUGCUCUUUAAUCUUUUGCUUUGGUGAUAAAUACUACUGUAGUCAUUCACUUUUAACUUGAAAUCAGUUUAACCUUUCCUUCCUAUUCUACAUAUAUUACCAUGCUUUGCUUACAAGGUUUGCAGGUUGCAAUAUUGUCUGAAGGUUAAAAUGCUAUUUUAAAUACAAUGCAGUGUUUAACACUGUGCAGUGUUUAAAAGUUUUUUAUCUUCUAGAUCUAACUGUCUAGUUCUAGAUUCUAAAUCCCAUCUUUUUUUCUCUGAUUUUACUCUUUUUUUAGAGUUAUACUUCUGCAAAAUUUUUACUAAAAACUGCAGUCUUCUGUGAUCUUACAGAUGCUUUAUGCUUCUUUAUGCUGCUUGUUGUUGUGUGUAGGAGACCUUGGUGUUCAUGCUGCAGUCAGUGGGAAGCUUUCUGCUUUUUUAUGGACAUCCAGCUGUACUCUUCCAAAAUGUGUUAUAUCUGAAAGAUUUAUCCACUGAAAAAAAGGAAAAGAAUAACAGCUGGUGCAAAUAUGUCUAUUGCUGGUAAAAGAAAGGCAGGCAAUCUUUAUGGAAUGAAGGGUCACUAUGUGGCAACAGUACCGUAGCUGAUUUUCAAGAAAAUCAUUUUAGAAGGACGAAACAGCAUUUUGGAGGGCUCCUAUGAUUUUCAGCUGAAAAAUAUGAUGUUGUCACUUUCAAACUUUAGCACAGUAAAUCUCUUGCUCUGUUUCCCAACUGGAAAAAAAUGAACAAGGAAGAUAUGUUUCAGGAUGUUCCCACCCUCCACAGAGUUCAAAAGUAUACAAAUAUUGUCAUACUUACUUUUCCUCCUACAUUUUCCAUCUAUUCUGCACAUAAGUCUCCAAGUGAUUCCUCCCCAGUGGAAGAAACUGAAGCAGUAAACCUCACCUCUCCUUAGAGAUUUAUCCUACAGAUGUGGAACAGCUGCUCUCUACCUGCGUAAAAUUCAAAUACAGCACUUAUGUGACUAGAAUUUGUCAAUUUAAGCAAUAAUCUACUCAAUAUAUUUUAAUGAGAAGAAGUUGAGUCAGGUAAAAGUGUUGAGGAAUUUGUUUUUGUAAAAAUCAAGUAGAUCCAGUAAAGCAACUGGAUUUAUUUCAAAUUUAAAGGAAGGUAAAAGAAAAAUAAUUGUUUUUAAAGGUCCUGUAUAUAUAAUUUGCAAGAUAAUUUUAACAGCAUUUCUCAUUCAAUAGCUAGAUCCUUCUACUGUUCAUCCAACAGUAUAACUAAUAGGCAUUGUCCAAAAUGUCCUUUUUUUCCUCUUAUCAAAUUAUAUUUUAGUUAUACUGAUUGUAAUAAAACCAUAGUAACUGUACAUAUAUCUGUAUGAAAUCAUGCCCAACAUGCUUUCUUUCAAGCCUAUUUUUGUUACUGUGGUUGCAAUAAGUUUAUUGUGGUUAUAAAUACCAAUAAACUAUGCUGUAGUUU
ensembl:lncRNA